UACGUAGGGUGCGAGCGUUGUCCGGAAUUACUGGGCGUAAAGAGCUCGUAGGUGGUUUGUCGCGUUGUCCGUGAAAACUCACAACUCAAUUGUGGGCGUGCGGGCGAUACGGGCAGACUGGAGUACUGCAGGGGAGACUGGAAUUCCUGGUGUAGCGGUGGAAUGCGCAGAUAUCAGGAGGAACACCGGUGGCGAAGGCGGGUCUCUGGGCUGUAACUGACGCUGAGGCGCGAAAGCGUGGGGAGCAAACAGG
rnacentral:rRNA from 1 species